rnacentral:rRNA from 1 species
AUUGAACGCUGGCGGCAGGCCUAACACAUGCAAGUCGAACGGUAACAGGAAACAGCUUGCUGUUUCGCUGACGAGUGGCGGACGGGUGAGUAAUGUCUGGGAAACUGCCUGAUGGAGGGGGAUAACUACUGGAAACGGUAGCUAAUACCGCAUAACGUCGCAAGACCAAAGAGGGGGACCCUCGGGCCUCUUGCCAUCGGAUGUGCCCAGAUGGGAUUAGCUUGUUGGUGGGGUAACGGCUCACCAAGGCGACGAUCCCUAGCUGGUCUGAGAGGAUGACCAGCCACACUGGAACUGAGACACGGUCCAGACUCCUACGGGAGGCAGCAGUUGGGAAUAUUGCACAGUGGGCGCAAGCCUGAUGCAGCCAUACCGCGUGUAUGAAGAAGGCCUUCGGGUUGUAAAGUACUUUCAGCGGGGAGGAAGUGAGUAAAGUUAAUACCUUUGCUCAUUGACGUUACCCGCAGAAGAAGCACCGGCUAACUCCGUG